rnacentral:rRNA from 1 species
GAUGAACGCUGGCGGCGUGCCUAAUACAUGCAAGUCGAGCGAACAGACGAGGAGCUUGCUCCUCUGACGUUAGCGGCGGACGGGUGAGUAACACGUGGAUAACCUACCUAUAAGACUGGGAUAACUUCGGGAAACCGGAGCUAAUACCGGAUAAUAUAUUGAACCGCAUGGUUCAAUAGUGAAAGACGGUUUUGCUGUCACUUAUAGAUGGAUCCGCGCCGCAUUAGCUAGUUGGUAAGGUAACGGCUUACCAAGGCAACGAUGCGUAGCCGACCUGAGAGGGUGUUCGGCCGCACUGGAACUGAGACACGGUCCAGACUCCUACGGGAGGCAGCAGUAGGAAAUCUUCCGCAAUGGGCGAAAGCUUGACGGAGCAACGCCACGUGAGUGAUGAAGGUCUUCGGAUCGUAAAACUCUGUUAUUAGGGAAGAACAAAUGUGUAAGUAACUAUGCACGUCUUGACGGUACCUAAUCAGAAAGCCACGGCUAACUACGU